rnacentral:lncRNA from 1 species
AUAGUAUUUUUUAAUAACUUUAAUUGCUUGAAUCAGUUUCAUGCUUUUUCAGACUUUUCUUUUUCGAGGAAAAUAUGCUUAAUCAAGCUUCAGCAAAGCUUUAACUGAAGAUAUGAACUUGAAUGUAGCUUCUAACAAGCCUGAUUCAACCAUGAUUCGAAUCUUGAAUUGAUUUCAGGUUGAUCCUAGGUUAUCAAGUUGAUCAGUUAAGCUUGUGCUCAGCUUGGUUCC